CUUUGUUGCCAGCGAUUAGGUCGGGAACUCAAAGGAGACUGCCAGUGAUAAACUGGAGGAAGGUGGGGAUGACGUCAAGUCAUCAUGGCCCUUACGACCAGGGCUACACACGUGCUACAAUGGCGCAUACAAAGAGAAGCGACCUCGCGAGAGCAAGCGGACCUCAUAAAGUGCGUCGUAGUCCGGAUUGGAGUCUGCAACUCGACUCCAUGAAGUCGGAAUCGCUAGUAAUCGUGGAUCAGAAUGCCACGGUGAAUACGUUCCCGGGCCUUGUACACACCGCCCGUCACACCAUGGGAGUGGGUUGCAAAAGAAGUAGGUAGCUUAACCUUCGGGAGGGCGCUUACCACUUUGUGAUUCAUGACUGGGGUGAAGUCGUAACAAGGUAACCGUAGGGGAACCUGCGGUUGGAUCACCUCCUUACCUUAAAGAAGC
rnacentral:rRNA from 4 species